rnacentral:rRNA from 1 species
AUUGAACGCUGGCGGCAUGCUUUACACAUGCAAGUCGAACGGCAGCGCGGGCUUCGGCCUGGCGGCGAGUGGCGAACGGGUGAGUAAUACAUCGGAACGUGCCCAGUAGUGGGGGAUAGCUCGGCGAAAGCCGGAUUAAUACCGCAUACGACCUGAGGGCGAAAGCGGGGGAUCUUCGGACCUCGCGCUAUUGGAGCGGCCGAUGGCAGAUUAGCUAGUUGGUGGGGUAAAGGCCUACCAAGGCGACGAUCUGUAGCUGGUCUGAGAGGACGACCAGCCACACUGGGACUGAGACACGGCCCAGACUCCUACGGGAGGCAGCAGUGGGGAAUUUUGGACAAUGGGCGAAAGCCUGAUCCAGCAAUGCCGCGUGUGUGAUGAAGGCCUUCGGGCUGUAAAGCACUUUUGGCGGGAACGAAAAGGACUGUGCCAAUACCACGGUUCGAUGACGGUACCCGCAGAAUAAGCACCGGCUAACUACGUG